rnacentral:rRNA from 1 species
CUGGCGGCAGGCCUAACACAUGCAAGUCGAACGGUAACAGGAAGAAGCUUGCUUCUUUGCUGACGAGUGGCGGACGGGUGAGUAAUGUCUGGGAAACUGCCUGAUGGAGGGGGAUAACUACUGGAAACGGUAGCUAAUACCGCAUAACGUCGCAAGACCAAAGAGGGGGACCUUCGGGCCUCUUGCCAUCGGAUGUGCCCAGAUGGGAUUAGCUAGUAGGUGGGGUAACGGCUCACCUAGGCGACGAUCCCUAGCUGGUCUGAGAGGAUGACCAGCCACACUGGAACUGAGACACGGUCCAGACUCCUACGGGAGGCAGCAGUGGGGAAUAUUGCACAAUGGGCGCAAGCCUGAUGCAGCCAUGCCGCGUGUAUGAAGAAGGCCUUCGGGUUGUAAAGUACUUUCAGCGGGGAGGAAGGGAGUAAAGUUAAUACCUUUGCUCAUUGACGUUACCCGCAGAAGAAGCACCGGCUAACUCCGUGCCAGCAGCCGCGGUAAUACGGAGGGUGCAAGCGUUAAUCGGAAUUACUGGGCGUAAAGCGCACGCAGGCGGUUUGUUAAGUCAGAUGUGAAAUCCCCGGGCUCAACCUGGGAACUGCAUCUGAUACUGGCAAGCUUGAGUCUCGUAGAGGGGGGUAGAAUUCCAGGUGUAGCGGUGAAAUGCGUAGAGAUCUGGAGGAAUACCGGUGGCGAAGGCGGCCCCCUGGACGAAGACUGACGCUCAGGUGCGAAAGCGUGGGGAGCAAACAGGAUUAGAUACCCUGGUAGUCCACGCCGUAAACGAUGUCGACUUGGAGGUUGUGCCCUUGAGGCGUGGCUUCCGGAGCUAACGCGUUAAGUCGACCGCCUGGGGAGUACGGCCGCAAGGUUAAAACUCAAAUGAAUUGACGGGGGCCCGCACAAGCGGUGGAGCAUGUGGUUUAAUUCGAUGCAACGCGAAGAACCUUACCUGGUCUUGACAUCCACGGAAGUUUUCAGAGAUGAGAAUGUGCCUUCGGGAACCGUGAGACAGGUGCUGCAUGGCUGUCGUCAGCUCGUGUUGUGAAAUGUUGGGUUAAGUCCCGCAACGAGCGCAACCCUUAUCCUUUGUUGCCAGCGGUCCGGCCGGGAACUCAAAGGAGACUGCCAGUGAUAAACUGGAGGAAGGUGGGGAUGACGUCAAGUCAUCAUGGCCCUUACGACCAGGGCUACACACGUGCUACAAUGGCGCAUACAAAGAGAAGCGACCUCGCGAGAGCAAGCGGACCUCAUAAAGUGCGUCGUAGUCCGGAUUGGAGUCUGCAACUCGACUCCAUGAAGUCGGAAUCGCUAGUAAUCGUGGAUCAGAAUGCCACGGUGAAUACGUUCCCGGGCCUUGUACACACCGCCCGUCACACCAUGGGAGUGGGUUGCAAAAGAAGUAGGUAGCUUAACCUUCGGGAGGGCGCUUACCACUUUGUGAUUCAUGACUGGGGUGAAGUCGUAACAAGGUAACCGUAGGGGAACCUGCGGUUGGAUCACCUCCUUACCUUAAAGAAGC